CCUUGAUGGCGACCGGCGCACGGUGAGUAACGCGUAUGCAACCUGCCCGAUACCGGGGUAUAGCCCAUGGAAACGUGGAUUAACACCCCAUAGUACUUUUAUCCUGCCUGGGAUGGGAGUUAAAUGUUCAAGGUAUCGGAUGGGCAUGCGUCCUAUUAGUUAGUUGGCGGGGUAACAGCCCACCAAGACGAUGAUAGGUAGGGGUUCUGAGAGGAAGGUCCCCCACAUUGGAACUGAGACACGGUCCAA
rnacentral:rRNA from 1 species